rnacentral:rRNA from 1 species
UACGGAGGGUGCGAGCGUUGUUCGGAAUUACUGGGCGUAAAGCGCGUGUAGGCGGCCUUCUAAGUCUGGUGUGAAAGCCGGGGCUCAACCCCGGAAGUGCAUUGGAUACUGGGAGGCUGGAGUACCGGAGAGGAGGGUGGAAUUCCUGGUGUAGCGGUGAAAUGCGUAGAUAUCAGGAGGAACACCGGUGGCGAAGGCGGCCCUCUGGACGGAUACUGACGCUGAGACGCGAAAGCGUGGGGAGCAAACAGG